rnacentral:rRNA from 1 species
UACGGAGGGUGCAAGCGUUAUCCGGAUUCACUGGGUUUAAAGGGUGCGUAGGUGGGUCUGUAAGUCCGUGGUGAAAUCUCUAGGCUUAACCUGGAAACUGCCAUGGAUACUAGAGGUCUUGAAUACUGUGGAGGUCAGCGGAAUAUGUCAUGUAGCGGUGAAAUGCUUAGAUAUGACAUAGAACACCAAUUGCGAAGGCAGCUGGCUACACAAAUAUUGACACUGAGGCACGAAAGCGUGGGGAUCAAACAGG